CAAGUCACGGGGGGUCCCGCAAGGGACAACCGGCGAACGGGUGCGUAACACGUGAACAACCUGCCCUCGUGUGGGGGAUAGCCGGGCUAACGCCCGGGUAAUACCGCAUACGUUCCUCGAGAGGAGUCUCUUGGGGAGGAAAGCUCCGGCGCACGGGGAGGGGUUCGCGGCCUAUCAGCUAGUUGGCGGGGUAAUGGCCCACCAAGGCGACGACGGGUAGCUGGUCUGAGAGGAUGGCCAGCCACAUUGGGACUGAGAGACAGCCCAGACUCCUACGGGAGGCAGCAGUGGGGAAUCUUGCGCAAUGGUCGAAAGACUGACGCAGCGACGCCGCGUGUGGGAGGACGCCUUUCGGGGUGUAAACCACUGUUGCCCGGGACGAACUGGUCGAUUCAUCGACCGUGACGGUACCGGGUGAGGAAGCACCGGCUAACUCCGUGCCAGCAGCCGCGGUAAUACGGAGGGUGCGAGCGUUGUCCGGAAUCAUUGGGCGUAAGGGGCGCGUAGGUGGCCCGGUCAGUUCGUGGUGAAAGCGCGGGGCUCAACCCUGCGUCGGCCAUGAAUACUGCCGCGGCUGGAGCACUGUAGAGGCAGGCGGAAUUCCGGGUGUAGCGGUGGAAUGCGUAGAGAUCCGGAAGAACACCGGUGGCGAAGGCGGCCUGCUGGGCAGUUGCUGACACUGAGGCGCGACAGCGUGGGGAGCAAAGAGGAUUAGAUACCCUGGUAGUCCACGCCGUUA
rnacentral:rRNA from 1 species